rnacentral:rRNA from 1 species
GAUGAACGCUGGCGGCGUGCCUAAUACAUGCAAGUCGAGCGAACAGACGAGGAGCUUGCUCCUCUGACGUUAGCGGCGGACGGGUGAGUAACACGUGGAUAACCUACCUAUAAGACUGGGAUAACUUCGGGAAACCGGAGCUAAUACCGGAUAAUAUAUUGAACCGCAUGGUUCAAUAGUGAAAGACGGUUUUGCUGUCACUUAUAGAUGGAUCCGCGCCGCAUUAGCUAGUUGGUAAGGUAACGGCUUACCAAGGCGACGAUGCGUAGCCGACCUGAGAGGGGGAUCGGCCACCCUGGAACUGAGACACGGUCCAGACUCCAACGGGAGGCAGCAGUAGGGAAUCUUCCGCAAGGGGCGAAAGCCUGACGGAGCAACGCCGCGUGAGUGAUGAAGGUCUUCGGAUCGUAAAACUCUGUUAUUAGGGAAGAACAAAUGUGUAAGUACUAUGCACGUCUUGACGGUACCUAAUCAGAAAGCCACGGCUAACUACGUG